rnacentral:rRNA from 1 species
AACGAACGCUGGCGGCAGGCCUAACACAUGCAAGUCGAACGCCCCGCAAGGGGAGUGGCAGACGGGUGAGUAACGCGUGGGAACCUACCUUGUGGUACGGAACAACCAAGGGAAACUUUGGUUAAUACCGUAUGAGCCCGAGAGGGGAAAGAUUUAUCGCCAUGAGAUGGGCCCGCGUAGGAUUAGCUAGUUGGUGAGGUAAUGGCUCACCAAGGCGACGAUCCUUAGCUGGUCUGAGAGGAUGACCAGCCACACUGGGACUGAGACACGGCCCAGACUCCUACGGGAGGCAGCAGUGGGGAAUAUUGGACAAUGGGCGCAAGCCUGAUCCAGCCAUGCCGCGUGUGUGAUGAAGGCCUUAGGGUUGUAAAGCACUUUCGCCGAUGAAGAUAAUGACGGUAGUCGGAGAAGAAGCCCCGGCUAACUUCGUGCCAGCCGCCGCUGUAAUAC